rnacentral:lncRNA from 1 species
UGACAUAUGCUAAACUGGCAAUUUCGAAAAUUCCUUUUGGAUCCGAAGAAAAUAUUUUUAAUGUUUUCAAUUUUUUUUUUUUUAAACCAAAAGCAGCUUUGCUUUAUGUGAUAGGAGGAGGAGGGGACAUGGAUGGCUGGAAAUCAUCAAAUACAUUACAGAAGAAACCAUAGUGGUAACAAACACAUCAAAUCAUAUAAUAUGCCGAUUACCGUAUAAAUAAUAAUGGAGAGAGGAAGCACAUCAUAUCAAAGUCAUGCAUGUCAAUCAUGUCGUGGGAGAGCAUACAAUGUACCCACCACACUACUUCGUUUAGGGUGCGUUUAAAAUUGAGAUACUGUAACUUUUAAGCUACAACUGCUGUGAAAAAAAAAACUGUGACUAUAAAAUAAAAAUUAAUAAUA